GGAUCGAUGGUGUAGUUGGUUAUCACGUCCGUCUCACAUUAGCGAAUACUACGUGACCACGGGAGGACCCCAGAUCGAGCCUGGGUCGGUUCA